GGCUCCAUAGUAUAAUGGUUAGCAUGUCUGCUUUACAUGUAGAAGGUCUUGGAUUUGUGCCCCACGUGGAACCA
rnacentral:tRNA from 1 species